rnacentral:lncRNA from 1 species
GUAAAAGGCACACGCGCUUCCCGGCGCCGGCUUCCGGCCCGGCGAGGUUUGAGCGCGUCCGCGGGCUGGGAGGCCGCUGGACCCGGGCGCAUGGCCUCCCCCGGGCAGUUAUCUCCUUGCCGCGACCUUGAGGUCUUCGGUAAGAACUGGCGUUCCUCUUUCUAACGCCGGCUUUCGGCCUUCGCCCUUGACGCCCAGGCCCGGGGAGGCCGUCACUCAGAAACUGCUCCAUCCGAGUCCGCCGCCUCGGAGAUGCCGAGAGCCUGGUCCUGCCCUCUGCCCCCGGCCCCUUCCUAGACUCACUACUUCAGGUCACUAAAGGCGCCUCCCACCAGUUUGACUUCUGUUCUGCCUCUGCGCCCCGCUCUGGCCUCUCCUAAGCCGCUUCCCUGGCCAUGUCUUUAGAGUUCGCUCCCCGCCACCCCUCGGGCGCCCGCCUUCUGUGCGACCCUUCCCCCCACUUCCUGGUUGGGCUCCUGGAUCCCAGGACGUACCUGCAGCAGCAGCUUGACCCGCUCGAUGGGCGCUACCGCCGUCUUGGAGAUGGCUGCGGCCACUCCACCUGCCAGGAAGUCCUUGGCGAAGGACACAGCGGCAUCUGUCAUGUUGAAAGAGGAGGCAGACUGCUGCAGGACGGGACUGGGCCGGGAACCGGCUUUGACUCCGGCGCUGCGGGGCGGAGCGAAGCAAAUGGCCGAUUUAUAUAGGGGGAGCCGGAGCUGGAGCGGCAGGCGUCGGAGGCGGGGCCGGGGCGGGGUCUGGGCCCCGGCGCGCUGGGCGGCAGAGCCGCUGAGUGGCCCAGCUCGCAGGAGGAGGAGUCGUGGAGGGCGGGCCGGGACUGCUCUCCGCGCCGCCCGUGCUCGCCCUCGGCACCUGACCCGGCGAGAGGAAGGGGCGGGUCCAGAGAACACCCGGGACUUGAACGCUGGACCCUGAGAGAGGCCUCGGAGAGGGGAGGAAGGGUGAGGUCACGAUGUGCCUGGACAAAAACCCUUGGAGCAGGACCAGGACUAGGGUGAGACGCAUUUGCUACAGGGAUGCCAAAAGAACCCUUCAGUCAUCGAGAUAAACAGUAGUCAAUGCGAUACUUUAAAAAAGUCGUAUGGGCAAACUACAUCCUACUGGCCGGCCCCCUUGUUUUGUAAAUAAAGUUUAAUUGGAGUGUCAAGGCUGGGUUUAGGGUGAGGCAAGCGAGACAAGGUCAUGCAAGUGCAGGUUGGGAUCCUGUCUGUAUUUCAAAUGUUGAUCAUUUGUUCAUCAUGGAUUUUUGCAUUGCUUCUGAUUUUUUUAAAAUAGUACAUGAAAAAUCAUUUGUCUUAAUUACUGAGUUGUUUUUCACCAAGGUGAAUGCCUCACUCUUCCCACUCUAGACCGUGUGCUGUCCUGGAGCCAGUGAAACCAGACGAAAUUAAGGGAACAGCAGACGAAGGAACUGCCACCGUGCCCCAGACCCUGGUUUGCAAAUACAGUUCGACAAAGAUCUUGCCAGGAAUUGGCCUGGGAGAGUCCAAAGGACUGGGCUGGGGGUGGGGAAAUGAUUUUAGCCAGAAGACAAAUAUAGAGGUUGUACCCAGAAGGUUAAGAGGCUUAGGAAGGUUAAGAACUACGUUAACAUUUGGCUCCCAGGACCCCAGGUAAAGUGCCCUUGGAUUGAAUAGAUUUCUGAACUCCAGAAACAUUUAGAGGAAUCAAUAGAAUUAGAUUGGCAGCCAUUGUGCCAAUGGACAAGUGCUUACUGAGCCCCUUAAUCCCUUCACUGGGUAAGCAUUUGCCACACAUGUCCUCAAAAACCUACUUGUUAGCUUAAGUGGACUCCCUCAAGUUCAGAACAGGAGCAAAUAGUGUAAUCACAAGUUCCGUGUCUGAAUAAUCAUAACAAUGUUUAUAAAAAUAAGGACGACUGUUGAAAACUGCAACUGCAGCUGAACCUUAUGUGCCCAGACUUCAGAAUUCCCAUAGGCAAAAUGCCAGCAGGCCUUUGCACACUGAACACAUAGUGUUCAUAUCCUUCACUUUCCUUUCCUGCCCUCUCCUAUCUUCUCCAGAUCUGCCUGUGAAAGGACCCAAUUCUAGGACCCCCCAGGAUGGUUAGGCCCUUCCUCUGAAAGUACACUUUGCAAUUUGUUAGUCUCCUCAAGAACCCCAGCGAUCGAAACUGAUGCACACAAAUUGCAUGUGUUCAAAGGAGCAAUUUUGAAUCUAGCUUUGUUGAUCCUGGGAGAAAUCUUUGACCUGUGUUAGUGAAAGGCUAUGGUGUUUCUCAGCUGAUUAUAAUAGCGAGGUAGCUGAAUGCAAAAAAACAGUUUCAGAGAAUGGUAGAGUAUAUCCUCCAAAGGUGAUACUCGCUUCUCUAUUCUGGUGAGAGAAACAAGAGCUAAAGCAAAAUUCUACAGAGGGCUUUAUUUGGAGAGAGGUGGAUUUUAUUUAUAAUGCAUUUAAAAUUCAAAAUCUUUCUAGUUUGAACUCUUGACAUUCUGAUUAAUGCAUUUUUAUUCAACUGUUAAUUAUUCCUCGAUACACCUCGCCAUCACUUGUGUAUCCCUUUUCUACAUGUGACCUUUCCCUGGCCACAUCUGCUACUCUCUUUGAGCAUGAUGCCUCUACUGUAUUCUAUUCCAGAGCUCAUUGUUUUGUCAGUUUUUUUUCUCUCCACAAAAAAAGAUGAUCAAAUAAUUACAUAGAAUUUUUCCCUUCUCAGUCUUUGGGUAACUAAGUGUGGUUUUAUUGACGAUGAAAUACAAGAUGGGUCAUUUAAAAGCAACUUCUUGUCAUCACUUGGUAUUUUGCUAAAUCCACGGUGAGCUGGAGCUCCCGUAGUCACCUAUCACCGCGUGUAUUUUAAGGAGUCAGAUAUUCUCGAAACUGUUAAGAUCAUGAAAGACAAAGAGACUAAGGAACUGUCACAGAUUAAAGGAGACUAAAGAUACUUGACAACUGAAUGUAAUAUAUGACACUCAACCGGCUCCUGUACCAGAAAAAGGACAUUGGUUAUAUUGGUGAGGUUUGAAUAUCUGUAGAUUACCAAUACUAUUCUUGGUUAUGGUGGUUAUGUAAGAUUUAGAGAAGUUGAAUAAAGGAUAUAAGGACAAAAAAAAAAAAAAAAAAAAAAAAAAAA